rnacentral:rRNA from 1 species
GAUGAACGCUGGCGGCGUGCCUAAUACAUGCAAGUCGAGCGAACGGACGAGAAGCUUGCUUCUCUGAUGUUAGCGGCGGACGGGUGAGUAACACGUGGAUAACCUACCUAUAAGACUGGGAUAACUUCGGGAAACCGGAGCUAAUACCGGAUAAUAUUUUGAACCGCAUGGUUCAAAAGUGAAAGACGGUCUUGCUGUCACUUAUAGAUGGAUCCGCGCUGCAUUAGCUAGUUGGUAAGGUAACGGCUUACCAAGGCAACGAUGCAUAGCCGACCUGAGAGGGUGAUCGGCCACACUAGAACUGAGACACGGUCCAGACUCCUACGGGAGGCAGCAGUAGGGAAUCUUCCGCAAUGGGCGAAAGCCUGACGGAGCAACGCCGCGUGAGUGAUGAAGGUCUUCGGAUCGUAAAACUCUGCUAUUAGGGAAGAACAUAUGUGUAAGUAACUGUGCACAUCUUGACGGUACCUAAUCAGAAAGCCACGGCUAACUACGUG